UACAGAGGUCUCAAGCGUUGUUCGGAUUCAUUGGGCGUAAAGGGUGCGUAGGUGGCGCUGUAAGUCGGGUGUGAAAUUUCGGAGCUUAACUCCGAAACUGCAUUCGAUACUGCGGUGCUUGAGGACUGGAGAGGAGACUGGAAUUCAUGGUGUAGCAGUGAAAUGCGUAGAUAUCGUAAGGAAGACCAGUGGCGAAGGCGGAUCUCUGGACAGUUACUGACACUGAGGCACGAAGGUCAGGGGAGCAAACGGG
rnacentral:rRNA from 1 species